GGGAGAGAUGAUGGAGGACAAGAACAAGAAGAAGAAGAAGAAGAGGAGCAAGUUGUGGUUGAAGAAGGUGUCGUGGCCGUUUCGGUGGAAACGACUGGAUCUUCAAACGACCAUCAUGGACACCGUCGUUUUCAAGGUUGGAAUGAAUAAUUUGAAGAGCAUAAACUAUGAAUUCUGGAGAACAAAUUUCCCUACCAUUACAUUUUUUGUCUCUUCCUCGUACUUUUCUUUCCCAUUGUAAAAAUAGUAUGAGAAACUGUUUGGUGAACAAAUAUGCUGGAGAGAUUUGACUGCUUCAUUUAUUAUUAUUUAUUGGGAGAAGAGGACUGGUUUCUAUAUUUGUAAAUGCAAAAAUUACCACUUCGAGUGAAAUUACAUUGUGGAACUACCAAUUUUACGAGAAAAAUAAGUGUUCUUUCGGUGAUGAAUUGUAAUUGCAAUAUCUAUAUUAAUAUUCAAACUAUAA